UACAUAGGUCUCAAGCGUUGUUCGGAUUCAUUGGGCGUAAAGGGUGCGUAGGCGGCUCCUUAAGUCGGAUGUGAAAUCUCAGGGCUCAACCCUGAAACUGCAUUCGAUACUGCGGUGCUCGAGGACUCGAGAGGAGAUUGGAAUUCACGGUGUAGCAGUGAAAUGCGUAGAUAUCGUGAGGAAGACCAGUGGCGAAGGCGGAUCUCUGGAGAGUUCCUGACGCUGAGGAACGAAGGCCAGGGGAGCAAACGGG
rnacentral:rRNA from 1 species